rnacentral:rRNA from 1 species
UACGGAGGGUGCAAGCGUUGUCCGGAUUUAUUGGGUUUAAAGGGUGCGUAGGUGGCCUUAUAAGUCAGUGGUGAAAGCCUGCAGCUUAACUGUAGGACUGCCAUUGAUACUGUAGGGCUUGAGUACUGAUGAGGUAGGCGGAAUUGAUAGUGUAGCGGUGAAAUGCAUAGAUAUUAUCAAGAACACCGAUUGCGAAGGCAGCUUACUAAGGAGUUACUGACACUGAGGCACGAAAGCGUGAGGAUCAAACAGG